UACCCUUGACAUGUCCGGAAUCCUGCAGAGAUGCGGGAGUGCCCGAAAGGGAAUCGGAACACAGGUGCUGCAUGGCUGUCGUCAGCUCGUGUCGUGAGAUGUUGGGUUAAGUCCCGCAACGAGCGCAACCCUUAUCAUUAGUUGCUACGCAAGGGCACUCUAAUGAGACUGCCGGUGACAAACCGGAGGAAGGUGGGGAUGACGUCAAGUCCUCAUGGCCCUUAUGGGUAGGGCUUCACACGUCAUACAAUGGUCGGUACAGAGGGUUGCCAAGCCGCGAGGUGGAGCCAAUCCCAGAAAGCCGAUCGUAGUCCGGAUUGUUCUCUGCAACUCGAGAGCAUGAAGUCGGAAUCGCUAGUAAUCGCGGAUCAGCAUGUCGCGGUGAAUACGUUCCCGGGUC
rnacentral:rRNA from 1 species